rnacentral:rRNA from 1 species
AGCGAACGCUGGCGGCAGGCCUAACACAUGCAAGUCGAACGAACCUUUCGGGGUUAGUGGCGGACGGGUAAGUAACACGUGGGAACGUGCCUUUAGGUUCGGAAUAACUCAGGGAAACUUGUGCUAAUACCGAAUGUGCCCUUCGGGGGAAAGAUUUAUCGCCUUUAGAGCGGCCCGCGUCUGAUUAGCUAGUUGGUUGAGGUAAUGGCUCACCAAGGCGACGAUCAGUAGCUGGUCUGAGAGGAUGAUCAGCCACAUUGGGACUGAGACACGGCCCAAACUCCUACGGGAAGCAGCAGUGGGGAAUCUUGCGCAAUGGGCGAAAGCCUGACGCAGCCAUGCCGCGUGAAUGAUGAAGGUCUUAGGAUUGUAAAAUUCUUUCACCGGGGACGAUAAUGACGGUACCCGGAGAAGAAGCCCCGGCUAACUUCGUG